AUGCAAGUCGAGCGGUAACAGGUCCAGCUUGCUGGACGCUGACGAGCGGCGGACGGGUGAGUAAUGCAUAGGAAUCUACCCAGUCGUGGGGGAUAACCUGGGGAAACCCAGGCUAAUACCGCAUACGUCCUACGGGAGAAAGCGGGGGCUCUUCGGACCUCGCGCGAUUGGAUGAGCCUAUGUCGGAUUAGCUGGUUGGUGGGGUAACGGCUCACCAAGGCGACGAUCCGUAGCUGGUCUGAGAGGAUGAUCAGCCACACUGGGACUGAGACACGGCCCAGACUCCUACGGGAGGCAGCAGUGGGGAAUAUUGGACAAUGGGCGAAAGCCUGAUCCAGCCAUGCCGCGUGUGUGAAGAAGGCUUUCGGGUUGUAAAGCACUUUCAGUGGGGAAGAAGGCUUGUC
rnacentral:rRNA from 1 species